GACCCCGUAGUUCAACGGAUAGAAUAGAAGUUUCCUAAACUUUAGAUGUGGGUUCGAUUCCCGCCGGGGUCAC
rnacentral:tRNA from 1 species